rnacentral:lncRNA from 1 species
GGCAGAAGUGCUUUAUAAAAGCUGGGAUUUAGAUGAAUCUCAGUUGGCUUUUGUUCACAUGUUAAAAGACGUGGAGAAGAAUGAAAUGAGAGUAUACAAGCCAGAAGAUUCGAUGUGUGUAUCCAACACAGCAACCUCCAAUAUGUCUGAGGCUGACACAACAAAAACCACAAAGGGGACAAAGGUGACAAAGGGGGAGCCAGCUGCCAUCCCUAACUCUGACUCUACAAAGGAAACGAGCCUUGAUCUCACAAAGGCAAACUGGACGUUACGCAUUGUCAUUAACAAGAGCAAAUCAGAGGUUACUGAGGUGAAGAAGGACACAGAGAGCGCUGACCAGAUUAAAGCCAUAAUACAGUCCUGGGAAACUGCUGAGCCAGGGCGCCAUGCUAAGGUAACCCACAUAAGUCCUCGUAAUCCACAU